AAAGUACCCAGAUAGCAAACUGACUCCGCAACGGAUCCGCCCCAGAGGUAUCACAAGCUCCGGAACGGAUCCGCGAAACGGGUCCGGAACGGAGUCUACUUGCACAGCGCAGCGGAUCCGGAACAGAUAAGGAUUGUGGAUCCAGAUCAGAUCCGGGGCAGACUUGCCCCGUGUCCGCCGAUAAGGAGGAACUUCUUGGACUCCAUCUGGUUGAAUGCCUUUUUCCCAUUCACGCCCUUCCAGUUGAUCCUCCUCCCAACGUCAUCAUGGAACAUGCGGGAAAGGAUAUUCCAUGUGACACGUUUUGUGUCAUGGCCCCCAACAGUUGCAAGGGAAGAAAUCUAAAAUAAUAAUAAUUUUUUCAUCGCUGGAGCUCCUUGUCAGCAGACAGACAAGGGACACGGAGGUAAGUGGUACAAAUAACAGCAGGUUUAUUAAACAACGAUUGAGACAACACUGGCGAGAGGAGAGUCCAGGUAAGCGGGCGGGGAGCGGGAAAGUCUUGUGUGGCUUAUCUGAGUCUGAUAGUGUCUUUGUGUUUCCCAGAGGGUCCGGAGGGAGCUGAGGAGCGUGUAGACAGUGGAGAACAUCAGCUGGGGAGAACUAGGACGUAUCACAGGAACAACAGGUAAGUGGGUCAGGUGAAACAACAUUGUAAGGUUGAGACCAGACAGUGAGUGAACAGAAGGAGUGCAGGUAUAUAGUGCAGGCUGUAAAGUGUAAAGAUGCGCAUUGCCACCUUGUGUACCCGGGUAUUUCUAUUUUUCAAAAAGCCCCUCUACUGUCAGGGAGUGAAUUUGCAUGUUCAUUUGGCUCAUCGCUAGUGAAAUUUGCUUGGGUAUGAACACAAAGACGCGCUGAAAAACGUUAUGAAAAAUGCGAUAAGCUUGCGCAAUAACCGUACUGGUGUGCACGAGGCUUUAGGCUUUGUGCCAAAAUUAGGGUUUGCUCCCUACGUCACUACACCUUUAAAUCAGAACCAUAAGUAGGGGAACAUUUGCACUACACUACUGUGUAAUGCUAAGAGAGAGGUGAUAGCUAUCCAGGUUCAUUUAAGAGCAAACCUAAAACUACUCAAUGUACAGCACAAGUUAUUUAAUAGACAUAAUAUGACUUUAUGAUUGGCUGAAAGACCAUUAAACAUUUCUAAAAUGGCUGAUAAAGAUUUGUUUAUCACAUUAAAAAUAAUUAACACAGCAUGCGUUUUUCACUCCCUAAGAUUAGCAUGCACUGUAGCAUGCAUUCUAGCAUUAAUAAAUGCUAGAAUGUAAUGUAAAUUUUCAGUGUAAUGAGAUUGAAAAAAAAAAAAAAAAAAAAACA